rnacentral:rRNA from 1 species
GAUGAACGCUGGCGGCGUGCCUAAUACAUGCAAGUCGAGCGAACAGACGAGGAGCUUGCUCCUCUGACGUUAGCGGCGGACGGGUGAGUAACACGUGGAUAACCUACCUAUAAGACUGGGAUAACUUCGGGAAACCGGAGCUAAUACCGGAUAAUAUAUUGAACCGCAUGGUUCAAUAGUGAAAUACGGUUUUGCUGUCACUUAUAGAUGGAUCAGCGCCGCAUUAGCUAGUUGGUAAGGUAACGGCUUACCAAGGCAACGAUGCGUAGCCGACCUGAGAGGGUGGUCGGCCACACUAGAACUGAGACAGGGUCGAGACUCCUACGGGAGGAAGCAGUAGGGAAUCCUACGCAAUGGGCGAAAGCCUGACGGAGCAACGCCGCGUGAGUGAUGAAGGUCUUCGGAUCGGAAAGCUCUGUUAUUAGGGGAGAACAAAUGUGUAAGUAACUAUGCACGUAUUGACGGUACCUAAUCAGAAAGCCACGGCUAACUACGUG